rnacentral:rRNA from 1 species
UGAGUAACACGUGGGUAACCUACCUAUAAGACUGGGAUAACUUCGGGAAACCGGAGCUAAUACCGGAUAACAUUUGGAACCGCAUGGUUCUAAAGUGAAAGAUGGUUUUGCUAUCACUUAUAGAUGGACCCGCGCCGUAUUAGCUAGUUGGUAAGGUAACGGCUUACCAAGGCGACGAUACGUAGCCGACCUGAGAGGGUGAUCGGCCACACUGGAACUGAGACACGGUCCAGACUCCUACGGGAGGCAGCAGUAGGGAAUCUUCCGCAAUGGGCGAAAGCCUGACGGAGCAACGCCGCGUGAGUGAUGAAGGGUUUCGGCUCGUAAAACUCUGUUAUUAGGGAAGAACAAACGUGUAAGUAACUGUGCACGUCUUGACGGUACCUAAUCAGAAAGCCACGGCUAACUACGUGCCAGCAGCCGCGGUAAUACGUAGGUGGCAAGCGUUAUCCGGAAUUAUUGGGCGUAAAGCGCGCGUAGGCGGUUUCUUAAGUCUGAUG